UACAUACUGACAAGAAAAAAAAUAUCUCAUCUCACCUACUGACAGAAAAUAUGAGGAAUUAGAGUUACCUGAGGUUAAGGUUUAUUGUGACCUUGUUGAUAACUUGUACGAGGAGGAGAUUGAACAAAUGGAAUUGGAGGUUUUGAAGUAAUUGAAUUUUGAGAUGACAGUCCCAACAGCUUAAUAUUUUCUUGGAUUAUUUGUUUAUGCUACUGCUGAUGGAACAAAUCAGGAUCCAUCAUUGGAGUACUUGGCUGAAUACAUAAUUGAGCUAUCUCUCCUAGACUACAAAAUUCUUUGCUAUGCUCCAUCACUUACAGCUGCCUCUGCAAUUUUCUUGGCUAAUUAUAUACUUUUCCCCUUCAAGAACAACAUGGAACUUUGCUUUGCAAAAUUAUACACUUGACAAGGCUUCUGAUAUGAGCGACUGUGUUAAAGAUCUUCACCGGCGGUUAUUUGACAUUUAUAAUACUGAUUUAUUUGCAAGCAGAGACAAGUACAGACGAGACGAAUAUAAAUCUGUCGCAAACAAUAACUUCACUCCAUCUAUUCCUCCGGCAAUUUUUCACGACCGAAGCUACCAUUACCAUUCUUCUUCUUCUUCUUCUUUUUCUCUUUUUUAUGGCAGUCAUUGAUAGAUUUUUGGAACAAAAUCAAGAUGUAAAUCCUUAAAAAAAUUCAUGUAUUCAUUUGGUACAAAAAUUAUACUAUUGUUUGAAGUUUAAAGGAGUUAAUAUACGAUGAAACGUUA